UCAGGAGUAGGGUUUGGCUUCUCUCUCACUCCCUCUCUCUCUAGGAAUUUCUCUCUCUACUAGGAAUCAAGGGUUUAAGCUUGAUUCUCUUCUUUGCUUGUUGGUUACUGGCAAGAAGUGGUUUGGAGCUGCUGUGGAAGAAAGAAGAAGGAGUUUUAAAGAGUAUUUCGCAACCUUGAACAUUGUUCUUGCAGGAUGAGGCUUUGGAGAGCCGAGGUUGGGAGAGGUUCCAGCAGCUAGAGGAGAGUUUUUUUACUGUAAUUCCUCUAUAAUAGAGUAGGGAAGAAGGGAAGUAAGGGUUGAGAAAGCUACCGAGAUCUCCUAGAGUUGAUUAUUCAACCCUAGUGAGCUAAUUCUGGAAAUUCUUAAGCAUCAGGAAAUGAGACUUCAAGUUAAGAAGCUGAACAAGGGAGAUUUUCAGCUAGAUUAAAUAGUUUAAAAGAAUAUAAAAGCUGUUUUUGAACUAAUUGACAGCAGGCUUGCAACAGGAUAUUAAGUGAGACUCGGCUGAGUAUUGGGAGCUUUCGGAGGCUGAAUUAAGUGCCUCAACUUGAACCUAAACCGAGGUUCAACCUAUAGCCUUGUACAAGCUGUAGUGUAGCAGGUUGGGGGAUCAUUUGGAGCUGAUUUUAGUAAUAGUUAUGGGUUAAUUAAAGUAUUCCAACCAAAGUGGAAGUGAAGGAUCAACUCUGGUGCGAGGAUCGUUGUGGACUAAACUUGACACCUUGUUUGGGCUGAUUUAAACUAAGUUGGAGGUGCUUCAACCUAAAAUAAAGGAAAGCUUAACUUUAAGUUAAGAUAAGGGGACUUAAAAGCUUCGGAUUUCCUUUGAAAGGGAGUUCAACAGGGACCAUCGAAGUAUAGAGCUUUCCACAGCGAGAAAGGCUAGGGUUCCUGCGAGGGGUCAGCGACUAGCUAGAGCCUUCUGGACGUUUACUAGACAACCUUUAUCAGUCUAUGUAGUUUAGUUUAUUGAUGUAUAUUAACUUCAUGUACAUUGUACUUUGUUCUUAUCUAUUAUAAUAAGGUUUGGGUUGUAUAAGUUAAACUUUUAAGCUUUGCUCUGAUU